rnacentral:lncRNA from 1 species
CGGGUGCCGGCGUUGAGCGGAGCCCGAAACCUCGGCGCCCCACGCCUGGCUGGGGAAGCACGGCUGUGAGCAGGGUCUCGCUGUGCAGUUCAUGCUGACCUCGAAUUUGUGGCGAUCCUGCCGCCUCAGCCUCCCGAGCGGUGCGAUUGCGGGCGGGCAUCACCACGCCCAGCUUCUGAAGGGAGAAUUGAAGCCCCAUGGCGAGAGCCAAGAGAGACUUCAAUCAAGCAGAAGGACGUGGCAAGCGGGCACUUCCUCCCUGAGCCCUGACUCACUGCGUGGGGAGGGCAGCUGGAGCCCGCAGACCCACGGUGACGACUGUCGACCCCAGAGGCCUCCACGGAGAAGCGCACCACUGGAACGGAGUGGCGGAGGCGGCGGGCGGCAGUGGCUGCGUGAACGCCGUGUCUAUAGUUUGCUAUUGUUGUGGUGGUUGUGCUGUGUUCUUUUCUUGUUCAUAUUUCUUCCUUCUCUCUUUCUCUCCUGUCUUCUUCACCAGCUCCCCAAUGCUUGUGUAAUCUUCCUUUGUCCACCAGCCUUGCUUCUAAUCCCUUCCUCUUCCUCUAUUCCUCUCCCCAGCCCCCUCCCAGCAUCCCUUCAGUUUUCUCCCCUGAGGGUGAAAUCGCCCUAUUGAGGGCACGUUUACUGCAGGCAGUUUUCUGGUCUGUUUUAGAUUUUGUUCUAGAACCACAGAUACAGUUCAUAGGGUGAAAGGUAGCAAAUUAAUAGUCAGCACAGUCUGUCCCUCUCUAGGCUGUGUUUGAUGCUAUUGUCAUUGCUGAUGGUACUGCUUUAGCCAAGGUGACACAGUGGUUCUAAUCAGUCGUUCUUCCUGGCACGCCAAGACUGAGAUCGCCUAAGGGUCAUCAACAAUACUACGAGCCAGUGCCAAAGAACCAGGGGCUAGGCCAAAUAGGCAGCAACGUCUCAUCUGCAAGAGACUGAAGAGGUUCGAUCUCGCGACACACACACUCAAAACCCAAAAGCCAGAGGCCGGGCCUGGCCGGAGGCCUCGGGACUCGGCCUUGGUGCGCUGGCUGAGCGUCGGCGUGAUCCAUGGGCAGCAGCCGGGGCUGUGCUGACAGACUAAGGCGAGGAGCAGCGAAACGAGCUGGAGGCUCUGGGGUCCAUCUGCUCCGACCCCCUCACAGUAUUAUCAGAAACUCCAACCAGCUUCACCAUCACCGUGACAUCUGAGGCUGGAGAAAAUGACGAAACCCUCCAGUUUACAUACAGUGAAAAAUACCCGGAUGGGGCUCCCCUUUAUGAAGGAUUGCCCCAGGAAAACCUAGUAGAUAAUGAUGCCAGAGACAUUUUUAAAUUAUGAGCACUACGGGCUGAGGAAAAUCUUGGUGUGGUCAUGAUCUUUCCUCUGGUGACAGCAGUGCAGGAAGAAUUUAAUGAAAUAAUAGAUCAGAUAAAAACAAAAAUGAGAAGAGAGGAAGCAAAGAAACUGAAAGGAAAAGAAGCAGAAGAGGGAGAAGAAGCAGAGAAGCAAUUAUUCCACAGCACCCCUGUUACAAUUGAGAAUUUCUUCUGUUGGAAAGCCAAGUUGGAUGCAGGACUCUUGGAAAUUAACGGAAGAAGAAGAAGAAGAAGAAGAAGAAGAAGAAGAAGAAGAAGAAGAAGAAGAAGAAGAAGAAGCAGGAAAAAAUCAAGCUGUUUGAAACCGAUCAUAAUCUUGACACAUCUGAUAUCUAUCCAGUUCUUGGAGGAUGCUGGAAAUAAGCGGAAGUACACGAGUCUUUGAUCCAGGAGCUGGAUGACUUGGAGCGGGAGGAUGUUGAGGACGACCCGGACUCGCUCGAGGGCCACAGCAUCUGUGGCUGUGCUGAGAGGGUUUUAAUUUUCCACAUUUUUCUAAGAAAAAAUGACUUUCAGGAGAAUAUUCUUCUGAUAACGUUCACCAUUGAACUUAAUAAACUGACCAUAACGAGAGAGAGAGAGAGAGAGAGAGAGAGAGAGAGAGAGAGAGAGAGGGAGAGAGAGGGAGAGGGAGGGAGAGGGAGAGAGAGAGAGAGUACUCAAAAGCUGGCUACACCUGGAAGACAUCUCUGAGAAGUAGUCAUUUCCUGAGGGCUCGAAAUACCACUGAGAAAGCUACCUGCCAUGAGCAAUUCAUAAUCCUCAACCCAGGAAUUAAACUGAGAAAGUGAAAGAGAGAGAGAGAGAGAGAGACAGAGAGGGAGGCAUAUAUAUCUCCAUACAUGAAGAGAGGGCGAGCCUGGGGAGAAGACACUUAAGCAAGAUGCAACCCCACACUUACACCUCACCAGAGGCCAACCCAGGGGGCAAUGAGGUGGAACAAUGAAAAAAACCACCCAUCUGGACUCUCUGAAUUGGUAGCACUGGAAGGAAUAAAACAGAUGAAUGAGGCUCUAGAAAGAGCCACAUCAGAAAUAAGUUCUCAAACAGAGCUGAACCCAAAAUUCAGAAAAGAAAAUGAGCAAAUGGUCAAUAAGCCCAUGGAAAAUUGCUCCAUCUGUCUGCUCUUCAAGGAAAUACAAAGUAUAACUACGAUGAGAUACAACUACGUACACACUGGAAUGGCUACAAUUAAAAAGACUCACAAUACCAAGUGUUGUCAAAGAUGUGGGGCAACAACGUUCUCAUGCUUUGCUGGUGAGAAUAUGAAAUGGGUCAAACAGUUUAGAAAACAUUUUAAAAUCUUUGAUAAAGUUCAACAUGCAAUUAACUUACGUAUGACCCAGAAAUCCUGCUUCUAGACAUUUCCCAAAAGAAAUUAAA